AUUGGUGACUCUGUGGCCAAAGGAGCCUCUGCACGUGGGCAGCAAUUGAGCUGAAUUGCCAACAGCUGUGCUGCUCCUGCCCCCCUGCUCUGCCUCAGUGUGUGCUGCUCCUGCCUCACUGCUCUUGGGCGACAUGUUCUGCUCUGCCUCCUGCUUCGAACUGGCUUGGCCCUGAUGUUUUGGGCUUCAGCUAUCUGGGAAAUUUAAGUGCCUCCAGGUUCCCAGGAGAAGGAUCUAAGUGCCUCAUGAUGUGGCAAGAAGUGCCACCAACGUUGUGCUCUCUGCACACCUGCGAGAGGUCCUGCCUGUGCCUCUGCAAACCUCUGAGCCAAGGGGAGCCAGGAUCAAGUUGGAGAUCAUCUGCAUCUUUCACAGCACCCUGCUAGAGCCUGGGAAGAUCUGGAAGUCUCUCAGUGGCUAUCAAGACACUGAGCAGCUCCAACACUGCUGCAAAGGAGCCAUGGACUAUCUUGAGAUGUCUGCUGCACCACAGCUUUCUUCAGUCCAGCUGGCAUUCCUUACCUGCCUUCAACAAAGUCUGCAGUGGCUUUUGCUGAGCUAAGUCUUCAUAUGUGCCUCUACCCUCACUGACCUUCAGCUGCUCCUGCUGCCACUGAUCAUACCCUUCCCUGAGAUGUUCUUCUCCAUUAGUGACUCUAACAUCUUUGGAAUCACAUUUUGUGAUCAUGACACAUUUUGAAUAAUGUUUAUCACAUUUUGUCACUUCAUCAUAUUUUGAAUUGUUUUUUGUCAUCUUCUGACCCUUCAACAGCUUUCUGUGAGGAUGCCCCAAAGACCUGCUCUUGGUUUUUCCUUUACUCUUUCCCUCUUGUCUCUUGGUACUCUUAUCGACAAAUAAAUAAUUACCUGAUGUCUGUUGAUGGGUCACAGA